rnacentral:lncRNA from 1 species
ACUGUAUGAAGCAACCCUAAAGAAAUGCAGAGCCCGGAUUUGAAGUUCCCAUUUUUGACUGAGGCCUUGUUUAGUUGCUAAAAUUUGAAGGUGUCAAAUUACUGUUACAGUACUGUAGCACACUGUAGCAUUUCGUUUGUAUUUGUGAAUUAUUGUCCAAACAUUGAUUAAUUAGGCUCAAAAGAUUCGUCUCGCAAAGUACAACAAAACUGUACAAUUAGUUUUUAAUUUUGUCUACAUUUAGUACUCCAUGCAUGUAUCGUAAGUUUGAUGUGAUGGGAAAUCUUCUUUUUGCAUAGUGAUAAAGUUGAAAGUUGGGGGUGAACUAAACAGGGCCUGACUAUGUGCGCUUACAAAGAAGUCGAAUUUCUCAAAUCAGGUGCCUUUUUUUUAGCCAAUCUUGUUUUGGAAAGAGCAAUGCUUCUCUGAAGCUAUGCUUGCAAGGCGGCCAGGCCGAAAAAGGCUAUAAUAAUAAUAAUAAUCUAGUUACGAAGUUCCCGCAAAAGAAAAAAA